rnacentral:rRNA from 1 species
UGGUAAUGCCGGAUGCUCCAGUUGAUCGCAUGGUCUUCUGGGAAAGCUUUCGCGGUAUGGGAUGGGGUCGCGUCCUAUCAGCUUGACGGCGGGGUAACGGCCCACCGUGGCUUCGACGGGUAGCCGGCCUGAGAGGGCGACCGGCCACAUUGGGACUGAGAUACGGCCCAGACUCCUACGGGAGGCAGCAGUGGGGAAUAUUGCACAAUGGGCGCAAGCCUGAUGCAGCGACGCCGCGUGAGGGAUGGAGGCCUUCGGGUUGUAAACCUCUUUUAUCGGGGAGCAAGCGAGAGUGAGUUUACCCGUUGAAUAAGCACCGGCUAACUACGUGCCAGCAGCCGCGGUAAUACGUAGGGUGCAAGCGUUAUCCGGAAUUAUUGGGCGUAAAGGGCUCGUAGGCGGUUCGUCGCGUCCGGUGUGAAAGUCCAUCGCUUAACGGUGGAUCCGCGCCGGGUACGGGCGGGCUUGAGUGCGGUAGGGGAGACUGGAAUUCCCGGUGUAACGGUGGAAUGUGU